GCAUGUUUGAAAGGACACUGGCAGAAAACGGAACUAUUGAAAUAGUUGAUAUAGAACCGGAUUAUUUUAAUAUGAUCUUACAGUAAGUUACAUUUUCGCUUUGUUUUGUCUCCAAAAUUUUCCACACGAUAUAUUAGUGUAAACAGUAAAUCUUUGAACCAAAAUUUAGUUGUGUAAACAAAUGUUAUAUCUGUUGAAUGUAUAAUGAAACUUGAUAUUCACAGUAUUAUGCAAUACGGGACACUGGAAAUUAAUAUUGUUACUAUUAUGCAGUUAGGCAGCAUACUGAAAUCAAAUAUGUUUUCUCUAUUUACCCGAGGGUUUCACCAACUCAGUAGUCAGCACUUCGAUGUUGACAUUAAUAUCAAUUAUAUGGUCAUCUUCAUAAAUUACCUGUUAGCAAAAGUAUGGAAUAUUCGAAAUACUAAGGAUUUUUUUAUCCCUUGCAUAAUUUACUGCACACCUAUUUGGCACAACCUUUUGGAAUUUUGGGUCCUCAAUUGUUUACUUGUUUGGUGUUCUAACUAUUUUGAUCUGAGCGUCACAGAGAUAUAUUUGGGCAGGGACUACAAUUAAGAUAAAUAAAUAUUUUUUUGUUUUCCAAACUAUCGAAAAAAGAUACACUAUUAUCAAACAAACCACUCCUAAUCAGAGGAAAGAGUCUUUUGAAUACAUGUUUGCGAUACGUUUCAUAGAGUACUCCUAAUUUAUUCUGUAAAAUCUAUCCGUUACAUGUUUAUAACACAUAAUUAUAAAUGGUGUACAUGUCAAAUUUAAGAAAUCCAUGUGGACUAAGGUACUUCCUUUAAAAUAUAGAUAUCAUUUCCCCCAUUUAUGUAUUUGUUGUAUAAAUACCAAUUACUUACUUAUUGACUGAAUGUGGAAAAAGAAGAGAAAAUUACGUACAGGACGCACAUACUUUCCUUUUAAAUGUUUGUUUCCACAGGUUUAUAUAUACAGACAAGAUUACUGUCGAUUCUAAUAAUGUAAGGAACAUUUUAUAUGGAUCAGAAAAGUAUAUGCUACAACUGUUGAAAGAUGAGUGUAAUGAAUUCCUAGCCUCACAUGUAGAUGUAGAACAUGCAUGUGUUGUUCUGCAAACAGCACAUGACUUCA
rnacentral:lncRNA from 1 species